ensembl:lncRNA
GAGGAAAAGGGGACGACAGAGGAUGAGAUGGCUGGAUGGCAUCACCGACUUGAUGGAUUUUCCUAAGGGUAAUUUUCCUAUGCUCAGAAGGUAAAGAAACUGCCUGCAAUGUGGAAGACCUGGGUUCAAUCCCUGGGUUGGGAAGAUCCCCCGGAGAAGAAAGGGCAUGGCAACCCACUCCAGUAUUCUUGGCUGGAGAAUUCCAUGGACAGAGGAGCCUGGCGGGCUGCAGUCCACAGGGUUGCAGAGUUGGACACAACUGAGCAACUAACAUGAGGGGAAAUUCCACACCAAGAGGGACCUCACUGCUUCGGCCAGGGAAGCAAGCUGUGGACUUUGGGCUGAGGACCUCGGCGGAGGUGCCCACAGCUGGGAAAGAGCUGUUUCCAUAGCAGCAUCCUCGCCAGCAGCACUCAGCUGCCCCCUACUCCUCAUGGUAGCAACUCAGGGUCUUAUCAUCUGUCCCACUUGCUGCCCUGUUUAUUGUCUUGCG